UAAGUAACUUUGUUUCAUUUUGCUUUUCAGUUGCAUUAUUUUGCUGUUCAUGUCUUCUUCCUGCCAUCUUACUGGCUUUCUAUUCGGGAAGCUUAUUUCUUCUAUUUAACAGAUACCUCAGGAGGCCUAUAACUUACUACAGUUAAUGAAGCAGCUGCCACAUAGCACCUUUUCACAAAACUUUUUGUGGAAAGCUUGCUUUAAGAGGUAUACUAUUGAAGAUGUGUAAUCUUCUUUUGGACAGACACAACAUAAGACAGAACUUUCUUUAACAGAAAUUUGAAUUUUCCAUGGUUCGUGGUGAUAAUAUUUUUUUAAUUAGCUGACUAUCAGAACUGAAUUUUGUAAACACGUAUCUUUUUUCUUUUUUUUUUUUUCAGACUAUAGUAAUCUUUA